GUAGGUGAACCUGCGGAAGGAUCAUUAACACGAAUUUUAUCCAAUAUCAAAACCAAACGUGAACUUUUCCCCUCCCUAUUCAAACAACACUUUAAUGUGUUUUUGUAUAGGCUAACCUUUUUUUACUUAUAUAUAUAAUAAAAUUCGUUUUAUUGUAUAUAUAGUUUUAACCCCUAAAACUUUAACUAUAGUUGUUAGAGGUCUCCUCUUCAACUACUAACACUAAAAAUAUCAUCUCUUAUUUAUUAAGGAUGGUUUUUUCGAUAUUACGAAAAUUAAGAACAACUCUUAACAAUGGAUAUCUUGGUUCUC
rnacentral:misc_RNA from 1 species